UGGGGAUAGAGAGAGAGUUUGAGACCGAAGAAGAAGGAGACGGGAAGAAGUUGAUGGUCGAUUCGAACAGAAAUUGAGUGAACUGAUCAACGUCCUGAGUUUGGCUUUGAUAGUUUAUUCUAAUUGAUUGCCAUUUAAAGUGGUCUGUGCUUUGGGUUCAUCUGUUUCUUUCGCAUUACCUUUGUUAUAGAUUUUGUGUUCACAUCGAAUAGAGCCUGCAACGUAAGACAGAUUGUAUGCCUACUAUUUUUAAUUUUUCUUUUUCUUUUUUGAGGUUCUACUUAUCGUUUAUAAGCUCAAAUGGUUUUUUAUAUGGUUUUUUUCAUUAAUUAGUAAUUUCUUUAUUCAGGGCACGAAUGAGUUUUCUUCUCUGAAUUUCUUGACUGCCAAUUCUAAUCCCUUUAACAGAGGUUUUAUGCAAAGGAGUAUCUGGAUUGUUCUUUUGCCGCUGUUCCUGGUUUUGUUAAUUGUUGUUAGUUGGGUGUCCUGUUGUGAUUCAGCAGAUAUUGGGAACAGUGUGCGAUCAAAUUUUGGAAGUGCUUUGGAUUCAGUCUAUAAAAGGUCAAGCACUAAGAUACGAAAGAGAAGACAACAAAUCAGUUUGGGUUAGUUCUGGAAAAGACCGGUUAAGGAGCUUGAUGAUGCAGCAGUCAAAGUUCAGAAAGUUUUGCAUAUCGAACUCGAAGAAACCUUGCAGAUCGUGCAGUGGUGGCUGAGGAGGUAUUAUAAUUAUUUUGUUACUUGCUUGGUAUGCUUAAAUUUA